rnacentral:rRNA from 1 species
CGUGAAGCCUAGUACCUAGUAUUGGGUGGAAAGUGGCGAACGGGUGAGUAACACGUUGGUGACCUGUCCCGAGGAGGGGCAUAACUGUGGGAAACCAUAGCUAAUACCCCGGAUGUCUAGGUUGUUAGAGGGCCUAGACUAAAGCUCCGGCGCCUUGGGAGGGGCCUGCGGGCUAUCAGCUUGUUGGUGGGGUAAUGGCCUACCAAGGCUAAGACGGCUAGGGGGCGUGAGAGCGCGACCCCCCACAAUGGAACUGAGACACGGUCCAUACUCCUACGGGAGGCAGCAGUGAGGAAUAUUGCGCAAUGGGGGCAACCCUGACGCAGCAACGCCGCAUGGACGAUGAAGGCCUUCGGGUUGUAAAGUCCUUUUCUGAGGGACGAUAGUGACGGUACCUCAGGAAUAAGUCCCGGCUAACUACGUGCCAGCAGCCGCGGUAAAACGUAGGGGGCGAGCGUUAUCCGGAUUUACUGGGCGUAAAGCGCACGUAGGCGGCGCUGUAAGUUAGACGUGAAAGCUCUCGGCUCAACUGAGAGAGGUCGUUUAAUACUGCAGUGCUUGAGGUUGGAAGAGGAGAGUGGAAUUCCCGGUGUAGUGGUGGAAUGCGUAGAUAUCGGGAGGAACACCAGUGGCGAAGGCGGCUCUCUGGUCCACACCUGACGCUGAGGUGCGAAAGCGUGGGUAGCGAACGGGAUUAGAUACCCCGGUAGUCCACGCUGUAAACGAUGGAUACUAGGUGUAGGAGGUCAUUUACCCCUUCUGUGCCGUAGCUAACGCGUUAAGUACCCCGCCUGGGGACUA